GUUUGGUGUUCUUCUUCUGUUGGGUGGCAGAGGGUUUCCUUUCCUCCUGCUCCUCAGGUUCAGGUGCCGGGGGGUCCCUCUGGUCGGCGUCUGAGCUGCCGCUGCUGGUACUGGGGCUCUCAUCGUCCGACCUCUGCCUGUCACUGGACAUCGUGGGGAACUUCGCCGGCGUCCUGUCCCGCUGCUGGGUCGGAGGGGCGGGAUGGCGGGGGGCCGGGCCGGGCCCGCGGCGCCCGAGGAGGGGACGGAGGCGGCCGGGGGGCUCUACGGCGGCGGCGGCGGCUCUGUGGCCGGGCGGUGUGGAACAUUGAGAGCCGGAGCAGGGGGGGACGGG
rnacentral:lncRNA from 1 species